rnacentral:rRNA from 1 species
AUGUCACCGAACAACGAGGCCAUGCCCAGUGCCAUCAGACCGACAGCCACACAGGCCACAAAAGGAGAACCGAGGAGUGGACGAGCACAAACUAGGGGGGAGGGGCAUGAGUCGUACAACAGCGAGGAUGACAACAUCCAUUAUAAACAAACGAGGGGCGGGAUAGCGAAGGAGGCGCAGGCAGAAAUGCCCCAAAGCCAUCCGACGGGAGAAGACGAGGCAGAACCGUGGGAGAAUUGCACUAUGACCCUAGUAGCAAUGCUCCGGCAACAUAAAUCGCCGCGAAAAACCCACUUGGAGAUGGUACGAGAAGCGUUACAAACUACUACGAUCGAGCUGAAUUUCGCCAGCUUCCUCCAAGAAAUGGGCUGUCUAUGCCUAUUCCGGGACAAAUGGAGGCGCAAGAGACGGCCGGAGAAGUCGGCGCCGGCUUCCCAUUCUCAGGCAGCCGCGGCCUCUUACUACGCCGCAUGCACGCACGACGCGUCCGUACCAGCCGCCGCUGCCUCGACCGCGUCGCCGGCCUGCAGCGCUACUGCUACGAGCACAUCCGACGGCUCAGGCACGCGGCCGGCGUCGAGCAAGUCCUUGGGCUCCUCCGCGCGGAGCAUCCCGGAGCUGUACGGGGAAAGGGGCGCGCAAAGCCUGCUGGAGUUCGGCCUCAGCGAGCUCCGUGGCGCCACGGCCAACUUCAGCCCGCUGCUCAUGGUCGGCAUGGGCGGCUUCGGGUGCGUCUACAGGGGCGCCCUCCGCCUCCCUGUCGGGAACCCCCACGGCACCGCGGUCGCCGUCAAGAGGCUCAACCCCAACGGUGGCCAGGGACACAAGGAAUGGCUGGCUGAGGUUCAGUUUCUCGGCAUCGUGGAGCACCCGAACCUCGUCAAGCUCGUCGGCUACUGCGCAACACAGACCGAUCAAGGGCCGCAGAGGCUUCUGGUCUAUGAGUUCAUGCCCAACAAGACGCUGGACGACCACCUGUUCAACCCAGAGCACCCUGUCCUUCCAUGGGACGUCAGGUUGCAGGUAGCACUGGGUGCUGCUGAAGGGUUGCUCUAUCUCCAUGAGGGCCUUGAGCUUCAGAUUAUAUACCGCGACUUCAAGGCUGCAAACAUACUGUUGGAUGAGGAGUUCAGACCAAAACUGUCGGACUUCGGAUUAGCAAGGGAGGGGCCAUCAGAAGGUCAAACCCAUGUGUCUACAGUGGUAAUGGGAACCUACGGCUACGCAGCUCCAGACUAUGUCCAGACGGGGCAUCUCACCACCAAGAGCGACGUCUGGAGCUUCGGAGUGGUAAUGUAUGAAAUCCUCACUGCUCGACGCUCGGUAGAGAAAAAACGCCCCAAGAACGAACAGAAGCUCCUGGAGUGGGUGAGGCGGCACCCAGCCGACAGCGAACAGUUCAGCGAGAUCAUCGACACAAGGCUUGAAGGAAGGUACUCCAUGAGAGGAGCAAGAGAGAUUGCCAAGCUGGCCAACAGCUGCCUUGCAAAGUAUGCAAAGGACCGCCCCACAAUGGUGGAGGUGGUUGAGAGGCUGAAGCUGGCAAUGCAGCACAAGGAACUGGAUGGUCACGAUGUCCGUUCAGUGGAGGAAAGCUUGCUUCUUCAUGAGGCACCAACGACACCACCUAUGGAGGAUGAGGCUGCGGUGUCGGCAAGGCGGCGGAUGCUUCAUUUGGCUGCCCUAGGUGAGAAUGCAAAUGCUCAUGCAAGGAGAAGAUUGAUGCUCAUGAGGGCAGCUGCUCCUCGGACGUGUACCCUGUCAUCGUUGAGCUCUUGA